rnacentral:lncRNA from 1 species
UGAACUUUGAACUCUUAUUCACUACAGAAGUGAUACCUCCUAGCCGUUGAGUUAGCAGCGGCAGCUGUAAACGUGGGCUAGGAAAGGACGGACGACGGAUCCAGUCUAACACCCAACGACGAUACUACAACGUAUCCAAUUUACCACCAGAGACAUUCUUCCGAGGACAGGAAGAUCUCUGUUGGGCAACACGGCCUUCCAUCUACAACCAACCUAACCAUUCUGUUGUUGGGGUACGCCCCACACCAUUCUGUUGUUGGGGUACGACCCACACCAUUCUGUUGUUGGGGUACGACCCACACCAUUCUGUUGUUGGGGUACGCCCACACCAUUCUGUUGUUGGGGAUACGCCCACACCAUUCUGUUGUGGGGUACGCCCCACACCAUUCUGUUGUUGGGGUACGACCCACCCAUUCUGUUGUUGGGGUACCGACCCACACCAUUCUGUUGUUGGGGUACGCCCCACACCAUUCUGUUGUUGGGGUACGCCCACACCAUUCUGUUGUUGGGGUACGACCCACACCAUUCUGUUGUUGGGGUACGACCCACACCAUUCUGUUGUUGGGGUACGACCCACACACUUCUGUUGUUGGGUACGACCCCACCAUUCGUUUGUGGGUACGCCCACACCAUUCUGUUUUUGGGUACGACCCACCCAUUCUGUGUUGGGGUACGACCCACACCAUCUGUUGUUGGGUACGACCCACACCCAUUCUGUUGUUGGGGUACGACCCACACCAUUCUGUUGUUGGGGUACGCCCCACACCAUUCUGUUGUUGGGGUACGCCCCACACCAUUUGUUGUUGGGUACGACCCCACCAUUCUUGUUGGGGUACGACCCACACCAUUCUGUUGUUGGGGUACGCCCCACACCAUUCUGUUGUGGGGUACGCCCCACACCAUUCUGUUGUUGGGGUACGACCACACCUUCUGUGGUGGGGUACGACCCACACCAUUCUGUUGUUGGGGUACGACCCACACAACACACAC